rnacentral:rRNA from 1 species
UACGGAAGGGCAGCAGGGGGAAUAUUGCACAAUGGGCGAAAGCCUGAUGCAGCUAUGCCGCGUGUAUGAAGAAGGCCUUAGGGUUGUAAAGUACUUUCAUCGGGGAGGAAAAAACAAAACUAAUAAUUUUAUUUCUUGACGUUACCCGAAAAAGAAGCACCGGCUAACUCCGUGCCAGCAGCCGCGGUAAUACGGAGGGUGCUAGCGUUAAUCAGAAUUACUGGGCGUAAAGAGCACGUAGGUGGUUUUUUUAAAGUCAGAUGUGAAAUCCCUGGGCUUAACCUAGGAACUGCAUUUUGAAACUGAAAUACUAGAGUAUCGUAGAGGGAGGUAGAAUUCUAGGUGUAGCGGUGAAAUGCGUAGAUAUCUGGAGGAAUACCUGUGGCGAAAGCGGCCUCCUAAACGAAUACUGACACUGAGGGUGCGAAAGCGUGGGGAGCAAACAGGGAUUAGAUACC